CCUACGGGUGGCAGCAGUAGGGAAUCUUCCACAAUGGACGAAAGUCUGAUGGAGCAACGCCGCGUGAGUGAAGAAGGGUCUCGGCUCGUAAAGCUCCGUUUGUAGUGAAGAAAGAUAGAGGUAGUAACUCGCCUUUAUUUGACGGUAAUUACUUAGAUAGUCACGGCUAACUACGUGCCAGGAGCUGCGGUAAUACGUAGGUGGCAAGCGUUGUUCGGAUUUAUUGGGCGUAAAGCGAGUGCAGGCGGUACGAUAAGUCUGAUGUGAAAGCCGUCGGCUCAACCGGAGAAUUGCAUCAGAAACUGUUGAGCUAGAGUGCAGAAGAGGUGAGUGGAACGCCAGGUGUAGCGGUGGAAUGCGUAGAUAUAUGGCAGAACACCGGUGGCGAAGGCGGCUCACUGGUCUGCAACUGACGCUGAGGCACGAAAGCGUGGGUAGCGAACAGGAUUAGAUACCCGAGUAGUC
rnacentral:rRNA from 1 species